rnacentral:rRNA from 1 species
GACGAACGCUGGCGGCGUGCUUAACACAUGCAAGUCGAGCGGUAAGGCCCUUUCGGGGGUACACGAGCGGCGAACGGGUGAGUAACACGUGGGUGACCUGCCCUCAGCUCUGGGAUAAGCCUGGGAAACUGGGUCUAAUACUGGAUAUGACUCCACGGUGCAUGUCGUGGGGUGGAAAGCCUUGUGCGGCUGAGGAUGGGCCCGCGGCCUAUCAGCUUGUUGGGGGGUGAUGGCCUACCAAGGCGACGACGGGUAGCCGGCCUGAGAGGGCGACCGGCCACACUGGGACUGAGACACGGCCCAGACUCCUACGGGAGGCAGCAGUGGGGAAUCUUGCGCAAUGGGCGAAAGCCUGACGC